GGAGAGAUGGCAGAGUGGUCGAUUGCACCUGUCUUGAAAACAGGCAAACCGCAAGGUUUCAGGAGUUCGAAUCUCCUUCUCUCCUCCA
rnacentral:tRNA from 1 species